GUCUGUACUGUUGAGCCAUGAGGUUGACGGCAGCAGUGUACUGUGACACCAGAGGAGAGAACAAAGGGCACUGGGGCAGGCAGGGCACAGUGAACAGUGAGUGCAACGGUGGUGUGAAGAUGGGCGUGGUGAUACGAAUAAGGAAGGCCCUUAUAGGCUAACAUAUUUGAAUGCUUAGUCAUCUUGGAGCAGCACUGUUUGAGAAGGAUUAGAGGGAUGAGGAAGUGCGGCCAUGUUGGAGGAAGUGUAACAGUGGGGUGUGCUGUGUGGAUCCGGAUGUAGAACUCUCAGCUAAUUCUCUAGCACCAAGUAUCGCUGGAUGCUACCAUGCUCCCUGCCAGGAUGAUAAAGGACUAAGCUUUGAAAGUGCUCAUUUUAUGUGUGAACCUGAUUCUCAGCGUGGGAAAAAUACUAGCACCAAAUGCACGUUGACAUAACACCUUCUAGUACGAUGAGAGCUAGUCAGGAUGGAUAAAACUUAGUUGGAAUCUCAUCAAACUGCCAACAACAACUAUUUUAUAUCUUGAGGCACUUUGGAUAUCUGUUACAUCUUUAUAUAAAUUGAAUAAUAUACAGAUCAACUCAAUGCUGACUGCACUGUCUUCUAAGUUUAUGUUAUAUUUUCUUUGAAUUUUUCCACUCUAGUU